rnacentral:rRNA from 1 species
GUGUCAGCAGCCGCGGUAAGACAGAGGGUGCAAACGUUGUUCGGAAUUACUGGGCGUAAAGCGCGUGUAGGCGGCUAUGUAAGUCGGGCGUGAAAUCCCACGGCUCAACCGUGGAAGUGCACCCGAAACUGCGUAGCUAGAGUCCUGGAGAGGAAGGUGGAAUGCUUGGUGUAGAGGUGAAAUUCGUAGAUAUCAAGCGGAACACCGGUGGCGAAGGCGGCCUUCUGGACAGUGACUGACGCUGAGACGCGAAAGCGUGGGGAGCAAACAGGAUUAGAAACCCCCGUAGUCC